rnacentral:rRNA from 1 species
GCGCGUGCAACUACUUACGGCUCGGUGGUGUGUGUGUGUGUGUGUGUGUGUGUGGGCCUCUGCGCGAGGUUGCCCGCGCCAGUCUCUCCUAGGGCCGGCGUUGCCAUUGCUUGCGGUCGGGUUGGCCGGUGGUUUGCGCCGUGCGGGCCUCGGGUUGGGUUGUCUGCCGGUCGGCAUGAGGAGAGGGAAGAGGGCGUUGGGAUGCGCUGGCUGGACCGGUAGGAAGGGGAGGGGAGGGGCGAGGCGGCGAUAUAUUCGGCGGUGGGGGCGAGCGGAGAGGGAGGGUGGAGGGUUCGGCGGUGGGGGCGAGCGGAGAGGGAGGGUGGAGGGUUCGGCGGUGAGAGUUCGGAGAACGAGUAGGCGCACGUCGUAGAGAGAUCGAAGGGGGAUCUCUCUAGAGUGUCGGCUUAUUCGUCGUCGUUCUUGGGGAGGCCGGGAGGAGGGUCGUGGUGGUCCUUGGUUCAGUUCAGCGGUUACCGGCCAGAGUCCUACUUCAAGCAGCGGCAGCGGCGGUACCGGCGGCGCGAGCAGCGGAGGCGCCGGCGGCGGCUCCGGGGCCGGGGCCGCGGGCGGAGGCUGCGGCGCCGGCGGCACGGGGAGCGUCGCCGGAGGAAGCGGCGGCGGCGGAAGCCAAUGGAGAAGACGAUCUAGGCAGCGCCACCGCACACUACUCUACUCUACUGGGAAGAAGCAGACAGGCCGAACCAAAUGAGCAGCAGAACCACACACACGCACACAAGCACAACCCCGCACUCCACACCCGCGCACGCACACACAUACAUACCCAGCGCCACCACACCCUCCACACAGGUCAUGCACGCGGCCGCACGGUAAGAAACACAACCACUAGUACAUGAAUGAGAGAACAAGAACGUUACUUACUCUGGUAAAUAAACUAAGAAAG